GUGACGGCAGGCGGCGAGCAGCGGUAGUGCCGUAAAGCGCGGGUGAUGUCGGGCGCUGGGGGUCCUGGGGCUGCUGUCGGGGCUUCGGGCUUUGCCAAGCGGCUCCUGGUGACGGGCGGCGCCGGGUUCAUUGCAUCACAUGUGGUUGUGUCUCUUGUAGAAAACUAUCCAAACUAUCUGAUUAUCAAUCUAGAUAAGCUGGACUAUUGCGCAAGCUUGAAGAAUCUUGAAACCAUUUCUGAGAAGCAAAACUACAAGUUUAUCCAGGGUGACAUCUGUGAACCCCAUUUUAUAAAACUACUUUUUGAAACUGAGAAAAUUGAUAUAGUACUACAUUUUGCAGCACAAACCCACGUAGAUCUUUCAUUUUGGCAUUCCUUGGAAUUCACUUAUGUGAAUGUUUAUGGCACUCAUGUUCUGGUCACUGCUGCAUAUGAAGCCAGUGUGGAGAAGUUCAUUUAUGUCAGCACAGAUGAAGUAUAUGGAGGUAGCAUUGAUGAGGAAUUUGAUGAAGCUUCACCCAAACGACCAACGAAUCCUUAUGCCUCAUCUAAAGCAGCUGCUGAAUGCUUUGUUCAGUCUUACUGGGAAAGGUAUCAGUUUCCAGUUGUUAUCACACGAAGCAGCAAUGUUUAUGGACCACAUCAGUAUCCAGAAAAAGUUAUUCCAAAGUUUAUAUCUUUGUUGCAUCAGAACAGGAAAUGCUGCAUUCAUGGUUCUGGGCUUCAGAGAAGGAAUUUUCUUUACACCACUGAUGUAGUAGAAGCAUUCCUUACUGUUCUAAAGAAGGGGAAGCCAGGUGAAAUUUAUAACAUUGGAACCAGUUUUGAAAUGUCCAUUGUACAGCUUGCUAAAGAAUUAAUCCAUCUAAUAAAAAAGACCAAUUCAGAAUCUGAAAUGGAACAUUGGGUGGAUUAUGUAAAAGACAGACCUACCAAUGACCUAAGAUAUCCAAUGAAUUCAGAAAAAAUGCACAAUUUAGGAUGGAGACCUAAAGUUCCUUGGAAGGAAGGAAUAAAGAAAACAAUUGAAUGGUACAGAGACAAUUUUCGCAACUGGAAGAAUGCGGAGAAAGCUUUGGAACCCUUUCCUGUGACAGAACUAUUUGCCCAGCUUGAUGUGCCGUAGGGAGGAAGAGAGAACAUAAAGGAAAUUCACCCUCUCUCCUCGUGACCAUGUCUUCUUUAUAGAAACUUGCAGUCAAGUGACCAAGACGAAGUCUUCUCAUAUUUCAAGAUGCAUGGACAAUUAUGAAUUCACAGCUGUAAAUAAGGAACAAAAUGGGAAAGAUUUUCAGAGCUUUUUAAUACUUGAUUUUGAGAUGUAAAUCAGUUUUUAGUGCAAUAUCCUUAAAUUUUUUAUAGAAAUUUAUUUUAAAUAACUAUAUGAAGGAUUUUUAUAACACUAUACAUUGAUACACUUGAUUUUAAACCUGUUUUGUUCACUUUGACUAAGAAACAUUUUUGAAUACAACUCUUGGUAUUUUUUGAUAAAAAUAUGUUAUUGGUGUGUUUAAGUUCAGAAAUGCAUCAGAUGUACAAGACAAGUCAUCACUUCUUAUAGUUGUUCCAUCACGUUAGCUACAAAAUUAUAUUUUCUGUUCAGAUGUUUAAUCAUUAAGGAGCCAAAUGUUCUAUGCUCUACCAAAGGUGUACAGAAUCACCAAAGGUAGAGAUGAGAUCUAAAUGGUUAGUCUAUUUCCCUGCCAUUGCAGUAUUGUUCUCCAUAGAUAACUAUUCUAGAACAUUGUCUGGUCUGAUCUUAAAUGUCUUAAAUAGCAUGUAUCACCUGUCUUGGGAAAUUAUCAUCAACCUAAUAGAUCUUUCAUGAAGCUUGUAUUUAAGUUCAUUCCAUUAUCUGUCUACAUUAUUUUCAAAGGAUUUUGUCACUGUGAUUAUUAUCCAGUUAUUACCUCUUGUAUUACCCCAAAUAAUUUCUUUCUCCUUAAUGUUUACAAUUGGAAUGUUUGGAAAACUUGAAUGCUAAGUUUGUUACAGUAUUUAAAAUGUUAUAAUGUUCCAUAAUAUGAAGAAUAUUUUUGGCCAUAGGGAUAAAAGCUAAAUAGUUUUGUUUCACUGAGUUGUGGGAUGGUUUGCAUUAUCAGAGUUUAGAUCAUCUUAUCAAUGAAACAUUGCUUGUAAGUAAAACUUCCUUGUAAAUUACCUUUUUUUAUAGAAGGGAGAAAUAUCCUGUAUUUUCACAUAAAAUUCAGUAGAAAACUAUAAUUAUGGAAAAGCUGCUAAUAUGGAUUUUUCAAUGUCAACAUUUGAAUAUAAAGUGCUUAGGUAUUAAUUGUCCACUUCAUUUUAAAUGGUCACUACAACAUGUAUGAACCCCUUAUGCUUAAUAGUCUGUCCCAGUUUGCAUUUAGCUUGGACACUCUGGUUACCUUCCCCAGACCUGAAGAAA